GAUGAACGCUGACAGAAUGCUUAACACAUGCAAGUCUUUGGCGAAGCUGUGCUUGCACAGCCUAGCCAAGGCGGACGGGUGAGUAACGCGUAAGGAACUUGCCCUGCAGUCAGGGAUAACAGACGGAAACGACUGAUAAGACCUGGUAAAGUCAGGCGGACUCAUGUCCAGCCUGAUGAAAAGAGAUGCUGCAGGAGAGCCUUGCGUCCUAUUAGCUUGUUGGUGGGGUAACGGCCCACCAAGGCGAUGAUAGGUAGCCGGCCUGAGAGGGUGGACGGCCACAAGGGGACUGAGAUACGGCCCUUACUCCUACGGGAGGCAGCAGUGGGGAAUAUUGGACGAUGGGGGCAACCCUGAUCCAGCAAUUCUGUGUGCACGAUGAAGGUUUUCGGAUUGUAAAGUGCUUUCAGCAGAGAAGAAAAAAAUGACGGUACCUGCAGAAGAAGCGACGGCUAAAUACGUGCCAGCAGCCGCGGUAAUACGUAUGUCGCAAGCGUUAUCCGGAAUUAUUGGGCGUAAAGGGCAUCUAGGCGGCCAGAUAAGUCUGGGGUGAAAACUUGCGGCUCAACCGCAAGCCUGCCCUGGAAACUAUGUGGCUAGAGUACUGGAGAGGUGGACGGAACUGCACGAGUAGAGGUGAAAUUCGUAGAUAUGUGCAGGAAUGCCGAUGAUGAAGAUAGUUCACUGGACGGUAACUGACGCUGAAGUGCGAAAGCUAGGGGAGCAAACAGG
rnacentral:rRNA from 1 species